rnacentral:snRNA from 1 species
AUCGCUUCUCAGCCUUUUGGCUAAGAUCAAGUGUAGAAUGACCUGGAUCAUGUUUUCAGGACUGAGAUGUUUACUUUUUAACAGCAACACACAUUUUUUUCUUUACAUUUUUUUGUUGUUAUGUUAAUCACCA